GUCAACAGCCAUAACACUCUGAACGUGCCCGGUCUUGUCUGAUCUUGGAAGCCAAGCAGGAUCAGGCCUAGUUGGAUGGGGGACUUCGAUACUUACAUUUGAGGCAAUGAGCA
rnacentral:rRNA from 1 species